UCUGUAGCUCAGUGGAUAGAGCAAUGGCCUCCGGAGCCGUGUGCGCAGGUUCGAUUCCUGUCAGACG
rnacentral:tRNA from 1 species